UGAACCAGUGGUGAGAAUGUGUCAUGAGCCAAGAAUAAUAGUGAAUCUAAUUUUCUGCAUCUGAGCUCAAA
rnacentral:snoRNA from 1 species